GGCUCCCUCUCUGAAUCUACCAUAUUUGAAGCUCUCAUAUCUAUUGAAGGGCAACUAUUCAAGAUCAAUAGUUACACAGAUGGGUAUGCCUUCGCCUCUUAACACAGACUUGCCAUGAAUGAGAAGAAGACAAGAAGCGUGAGAGGUCAAGGAGUUGUUGAUUCAAGCUUUUCUCUAGCUGCACCACCAAUUGCUCUGUUAUUCUGGGUUUCAAUUGGGUUUGUGCUACCAUAUUUUAGUUCCAUGAUUCAAGUUGGGUCUCAACUUUCACAAGGUCAGUUCGUAUUCUCACUCUCUAAUUUGGUGCCUGCAUUUUUGGAUUUCUGAUUUUGGUGUGGUUUGGGUGAUUUGGUAUUUUGGUGGGUUAAUUCUCAGUUACUAAUGAUAAUUGGGCUAUGGUAUUCUUCUUCAUGAAUGACAGAGAUUGUGCAAAGGGAAAUGCAGGACAAUUUUCCUUAGAUAUGGUAAGUCCAAUGCUUAUUCUCAUAUUGACUAUUUUGUUAUCUUUCUUUAGCAUCAUAUCGUGUCCUUUUUAACAUGUCAGGAGGUCUCUUUUCUCCUUUUCAAUACCUAAGCAGUGGAAACUCUGUUGCCUACCUUCAAAUCUGCUAAAUAUGCAUAGUGUAUGAAGUGAAUUAUAUUUGAACCCUGAACCUCCUUAUUUAUCAAAUUUACAGAUACAGUAUUUGUUAAGAGUCUAUGAGACAAGGAUGGA